rnacentral:rRNA from 1 species
GACGAACGCUGGCGGCGUGCUUAACACAUGCAAGUCGAACGGAAAGGCCCUGCUUUUGUGGGGUUCUCGAGUGGCGAACGGGUGAGUAACACGUGAGUAACCUGCCCUUCACUUUGGGAUAACUUCAGGAAACUGGGGCUAAUACCAGAUAGGAGCUCCUGCUGCAUGGUGGGCGUGGGAAAGUUUCGGCUGUUGUGGAUGGACUCGCGGCUUAUCAGCUUGUUUGUGGGGUAGUGGCUUACCAAGGCUUUGACGGGUAGCCGGCCUGAGAGGGUGACCGGCCACAUUGGGACUGAGGUACGGCACAGACUCCUACGGGAGGCAGCAGUGGGGAAUAUUGCACAAUGGGCGGAAGUCUGAUGAAGAAACGCCGCGUGCGGAAUGACGGCCUUCGGGUUGUAAACAGCAUUCGCCUGAGACGAAGCGUGAGUGACGGUAAUGGGUAAAGAAGCACCGGCUAACUACGUG